rnacentral:rRNA from 2 species
UACAGAGGCCCCAAGCGUUACUGAGAAUCACUGGGUUUAAAGGGUGCGUAGGUGGUCCGUUAAGUUCGUUGUGAAAGCCCUGGGCUCAACCCAGGAACUGCUUCGAAUACUGGCGGACUUGAGGCGAGUAUGGGUCACUGGAACUGACGGUGGAGCGGUGAAAUGCGUAGAUAUCGUCAGGAACGCCAAUGGUGAAGACAGGUGACUGGGCUCGAUCUGACACUGAGGCACGAAAGCGUGGGGAGCGAACGGG